CCUACGGGGGGCAGCAGUGAGGAAUAUUGGUCAAUGGACGAGAGUCUGAACCAGCCAAGUAGCGUGAAGGAUGACUGCCCUAUGGGAUGUAAACUUCUUUUAUAUGGGAAUAAAAUGUUCCACGUGUGGGAUUUUGUAUGUACCAUAUGAAUAAGGAUCGGCUAACUCCGUGCCAGCAGCCGCGGUAAUACGGAGGAUCCGAGCGUUAUCCGGAUUUAUUGGGGUUAAAGGGAGCGUAGGUGGAUUGUUAAGUCAGUUGUGAAAGUUUGCGGCUCAACCGUAAAAUUGCAGUUGAAACUGGCAGUCUUGAGUACAGUAGAGGUGGGCGGAAUUCGUGGUGUAGCGGUGAAAUGCGUAGAUAUUAGGAGGAACACCAGUGGCGAAGGCGGCUUACUGCAGCGGAACUGACGCUGAUGCUCGAAAGCGCGGGUAUCGAACAGGAUUAGAUACCCGAGUAGUC
rnacentral:rRNA from 1 species